GAUGAACGCUGGCGGCGUGCCUAAUACAUGCAAGUCGAGCGAACAGACGAGGAGCUCGCUCCUCUGCCGUUAGCGGCGGACGGGCGAGUAACACGUGGAUAACCUACCUAUAUGACUGGGAUAACUUCGGGAAACCGGCUCUAAUACCGGAUCAUAUAUUGAACUGCAUGGUUCAAUAGUGAAAGACGCUUUUGCUGUCUCUUUUAGAUUGUUCCGCGCCGCAUUAGCUAGUUGGUAAGGUAACGGCCUACCAAGGCGACGAUGCGUAGCCGACCUGAGAGGAUGAUCGGCCACACUGGAACUGAGACACGGGCCAGACUCCUACGGGAGGCAGCAGUAGGGAAUCUUGCGCAAUGGGCGAAAGCCUGACGGAGCAACGACGCGUGAGUGAAGAAGGUCUUCGGAUCGUAAAACUCUGUUAUUAGGGAAGAACAAAUGUGUAAGUAACUAUGCAAGUCUUGACGGUACCUAAUCAGAAAGCCACGGCUAACUACGUG
rnacentral:rRNA from 1 species